rnacentral:siRNA from 1 species
UUAUACAAGUGUUAUCUUUUCUAA